rnacentral:rRNA from 1 species
GGACGAACGCUGGCGGCGUGCUUAACACAUGCAAGUCGAACGAUGAAGCCCAGCUUGCUGGGUGGAUUAGUGGCGAACGGGUGAGUAACACGUGAGUAACCUGCCCUGGACUCUGGGAUAAGCGUUGGAAACGACGUCUAAUACCGGAUAGGACCUUGGAUCGCAUGAUCUGGGGUGGAAAGUUUUUUCGGUCUGGGAUGGACUCGCGGCCUAUCAGCUUGUUGGUGAGGUAAUGGCUCACCAAGGCGUCGACGGGUAGCCGGCCUGAGAGGGUGACCGGCCACACUGGGACUGAGACACGGCCCAGACUCCUACGGGAGGCAGCAGUGGGGAAUAUUGCACAAUGGGCGAAAGCCUGAUGCAGCAACGCCGCGUGCGGGAUGACGGCCUUCGGGUUGUAAACCGCUUUUAGUAAGGAAGAAGGGGAGCUUGCUCCUUGACGGUACUUGCAGAAAAAGGACCGGCUAACUACGUGCCAGCAGCCGCGGUAAUACGUAGGGUCCGAGCGUUGUCCGGAAUUAUUGGGCGUAAAGAGCUCGUAGGCGGUUUGUCGCGUCUGCUGUGAAAUCUGGAGGCUCAACCUCCAGCCUGCAGUGGGUACGGGCAGACUAGAGUGCGGUAGGGGAGAAUGGAAUUCCUGGUGUAGCGGUGGAAUGCGCAGAUAUCAGGAGGAACACCGAUGGCGAAGGCAGUUCUCUGGGCCGUAACUGACGCUGAGGAGCGAAAGCGUGGGGAGCGAACAGGAUUAGAUACCCUGGUAGUCCACGCCGU